UUUUUCCCUCCGUCGAUUUUAUAUACAGAGAAUAUUUGAGCCCUAAAACUACGUCAUUUUGUGGAGAAUUAACAUUGCAUUCUCCACUUUCCCAUUUCAUUUUGCAAAGCCCUAAUCCUUUCAUUUUGCAAUAGCCCUAAUCCUUCAGCCAUUCUCCACUUCCCAUUCUUAUUCCAGACAUCAUCUAGCUGUCAUCUAGUCGGGAAUGCGGAAACAGCAAUUCGGAGGAAACAGCCAAAGCAGAUUUUGAAGCAAUUCGGCUUCGAGUGCGUAAGGGAAGAAUGCCGUCAUCUAGCCGGGAAUACGGAAACAGCCAAAACAGUAAACGAGAUCCUCCUAAUUUCACGCGAAGGGGAAGAAGUGCUUCGAGUGGGUUUGAUUUGAGAUCAGGUGGGUUUGAUUUCACGCGACAACGCAUCCUCCUAAUUUCAAUGAUUCUGCAACCACUAUUUGAUCUCAUUCUGUACUUAAGAUUGUUGUUUUCAAUUUCUUUUUUCUUUGUACAAGAGGAAAUAAUCGAUCUUAGCUUGGAUUGUUGGAACAAGUUUUGUCUGAUUUCGUUUUUCAGUGUGGCCAUUAUAAUUCAGCCUUUGUCCCGGUUUCCUAAACAUUAGCAAUCAAGAAGGGGAUAACUCGCAUUUGAUUGGCUAAUAUUAUUUGAAGGGGAGCUCAUGCUUCUUGGCUGAGCCAUACUUGGCAGAAAAAAUGGUUGGUGAGUGGUGAUGGUAUGCUAGCAACUGAAUUUUUCUUUGAAUGAGGUUGGAUGCUGAAGUAAAGGAAUUUAAUAACCAUUGCGCAUUGCAUCAAAAGUGCAAAAUCCAAGUUUUCAAAAAAAAUCAGACGCAUGCCUUGAUGUAACAAUGCCUACAAAGCUCUUUCAGGAAAGAUAAAUAAUAAGUUGACAAUGAAAUGAACAGUUAGUGAAGUGGAAAAAGUGAGUGAACAAAAUACCGAAGCUUCAACUUCAAAAUCAUCCCAACCACCGCCGAAGAAGAGACGGGGUCCGACACGAUGUAAGAAUGUCAUAGACGCGAAAACCUUAUUACCUUUAAGGGUUAAUAAGUUUGGACAGCCGAUCGGUCCUGGGAGUGGUACAUAUACUAAUUAUCUAGGAACACUUGCCCGGAAGGGUGAAUUAGGUCCUUUGUGCUACAAAACUUGGUGGGAGAUGCCUAAAUGGCUAAAGGAGGAUAUGUGGAACAUUGUAAAGGGAAAAUAUGAUGUGGGAAUCAUGACAAAACAGUGGACAAUAUCUUCCAUUGGAAAAAAAUAGAGGGGGUACAAGUGUGAGUUGAAAAAUGAAUAUUACUCAGUUAGGGAUACAGAUGAAGAAAGAUUGGCAAACCCACCACCUAAUGUUGAAAAGGAGCAUUGGGAAUUUUUGGUUAGGCAUUGGGGUACGCCUAUGGCGAAGGAGGUCAGCAAAAAAAAUAAAGAACGUCGUGGGAAGUAGACAAUGAUGCAUACUACAGGGACAAAAAGCUUUGCACGUGUUUCUGCCGAGAUUGAGGAAGACGAAGGUAUUCAGCUUUCUCGUGCAGAUUUAUUCAUCCGCGCACAUGUAAAUAAGGAUGGCAAAGCUACUGAUGCUGCUGCUUCGGAGAUGAUUGAAAACAUAAGAGAACUUCAAAAAAGUUACUCUGACUCGCCUACUGGCAGCUCCAAUGAUUUGUUCUUCAUUGUGAGGGGAGAAGAGAGAACUGGUCGUGUGCGGAUGCUUGGCUUCGGGCCUACACUAAGCGAUGUUUGGGGGCCCUCUCCUAGUAAAUCUGAACUGAUUAAUAAUGCUAAAAAAUCUUAGGAGGAGGCAUGUGCUACACGUGUAGAGUUGCAGGAGACAAUUUCAAAAAUGCAAGCCGACUAUGACAACAAGUUGGAAAAUUUACGAGCCAACUACGACGACAAGUUGGAAAAUUUACAACAACAGGUGGCUAUGCUAAUGCAGAUGCAACAACAAAAUUGUAGUGGACAGGAUUCUGAUUCUUUAAAUGCUCCUCCUAGAGUAUUCCCAAAUCCAUUUUCUAGUCGUGAUGCCAAUUCAGUUAAGGUUAUGAACUUUUAAUUUCUCUUAUAUAUAUGUUAAAUUUUCAUUUAUUAUAAUGUGCGCUUAAUGAAUUUAUAAAAAAUGUAAGGUAAUUCAAAUCAAAUGGGCAAGAAGACUUGUUGAAGUUGAAGAUGGGGUCGGUGCUUUUUGAAUUUCCUUCACCUUGGAUGGGUUCUUUUUGAAAAACUUGUAUUACAUUUGUUAAAAAUUCUUAAUUCUUUUUGUGUGACAUUUAGUAUCUUUAUCUAGACAAUUUGGAUGGUAUUUUCA